rnacentral:rRNA from 1 species
GAUGAACGCUGGCGGCGUGCCUAAUACAUGCAAGUCGGACGGAGCGCUUCGGCGCUCAGUGGCGAACGGGUGAGUAGCACAUGGGCAACCUGCCCUUCAGAGGGGGACAACAGCUGGAAACGGCUGCUAAGACCGCAUAGGCGCGGACGGGACAUCUCGUCCACGUUAAACGUCCUUACGGGGACAGCUGAAGGAUGGGCCUGUGGCGCAUUAGCUUGUUGGUGGGGUAACGGCCCACCAAGGCGACGAUUGGUAGCCGACCUGAGAGGGUGACCGGCCACAUUGGGACUGAGACACGGCCCAA